rnacentral:lncRNA from 1 species
CCGUAUAUAAUUGCGAGCGGUCUGCUGCUUCUCGUCUCGCUGUUCAAGCGAUUCUUCCGUCCCCUGCAAUGGCUAGCCUUGGCAGCAGUCGUGGUCGGGCUGCCGCCGAUAGUAUUGAGAAGCAUCGCCGCCAUUCGGAGAUUAACUCUGGAUAUCAACAUUCUCUUACUGAUUGCAGGUACAGGACCUCAUCCUUUGAUUCCCCUUAAAGGCUUUAUGAUGACAUCUUAAGUGCAAUUUGGUACUACUUAUCUUCUAAUAAAAGAACACAUUCCAAAGAACAAUGAAAAGCAUAGGAUUCUAUUUCUAGGGAUCUAGGGGUGCAUAAAUUGCUCAGGUUAAGCACAAACAAGACAAUUCCCCAUUGCACUUUAGCUCCGGUCUCAAUUACCCCCACUGCAUAAAAGAAAUCGCAUCAAUUACCCUUCCACAUUUUAUCAUUAUCUCAAACAGGUCCAGGUAUUUACGAUAAUUGUUGAAUUCAGUUAUAAAACUUUGUAAAAAGAAAUGUGCAGUUAAAGUUAUCUAUCAGUAAUGCAGUAGAAUCUUAUAAAAUGAAUAAAUUUCUCAAUAAACUAUCAAUUUUGAUAGUAUUAGUAAAAUAAUAGAUAUCCUUUAUCUAGAUUUUUUUAUAUAAUUUUUAAGUUAUAAAUUGGAUAUAUGUUGAGAUACAGAACAAUGUGAUAUCCCAGUUCGUUUUAGUAAAGUUUUAUAGCCUAAUUUCCGAAUUGUUUAAAUUUUUUAGAUCUAUUUAAGAUGAUAAUCAAGCGUAGGGUGACAUUUUAAUGUGGUGGGGUAAUUAAGACAAGCACUAAAAUGCAAUGAGGCUUUUUAUUAUUUACCCAUGUUUUUUCCACAAUAAAUGAUGGGAAAACUUCAAAAAACCCCCCUGUGGUUUGGUAGUUUCUCACUUUGUCCCCCUGUGGUUUAAAGUGUAUUAAUUUGCCCCCCUGUGGUUUCGUUUUUAUCUUUUCGGUAGCUUUUUCGUUAAUAUUUCAUUAAAUUAUAUACAAAAAACUUCAGAUACCCAUCUAGAUUUAUCAAAUAUUCACUUUAGUACCCUUUAAUUUUAACUUUAUCACUGAUUUAAGAAAAAAAAAUAAUGAAAUUGAUAAGAAAAAGAGAAAAAAGAAACCACAGGGGGGCAAAUUGAUACAUUUUAAACCACAGGGGGGCAAAGUGAGAAACUAUGAAACCACAGGGGGGUUUUUUGAAGUUUUCCCAUAAAUGAUUAAACACAUCAUGCACUUUUCUUAUUUUCCUUCUAAGAAAAAUAAUUAUUUAGAAGGUACUAAAGAUGCUAUUAAGAUUAUGGUAUUGGAGAGCAAGGUUGUCAUUAGCUCCAUAAUGUUAAAGUUAAUGAUUCUGCAACAAAAAUAAAGAAUUCCAAGUUGAGCAUAGUAGGAAUCACUACAAACACAAGUCACAAUUAAGGGUGGACCAAUCCAUGAUGCAAAAAGAGAUCACUUUUACUUUUUUUUUAAAUGCAAAAAAUGUAGAAAAACCUAGUAUUGCACUCUUAACAUAAUUAAGAAAGGGGGAUAAUCUUAAUCUCAGGUGAGAUUCAUACUUUUAAAAUCUAAAACCUAUAAAAAAUAUAUAUAUAUAUCAAGUUUCAUAUCCAACUUAAACCUAAAAAACCCGAAUUCGACAGAACUAUAAGAUCCGUGUCAAGAUCCGAACCUAAUUAGUGGUUAGCUAUGAGAUCCAUGUUAGGAUCAAACCUAAUUGCACAUCAUCCUCUUAAGUUAUUUUUCUUAAAGUAUGAUUAAAUAACCUUGUAAAUGGAACGCAUUAUCCUAAACAAUCAUGACUAUACGGGUUUUAUAGCUGAUUAAAAAGAAAAUGUUUGUGCAACAAAAGUCAUCAUUUGAUCAAAUUUUUAUUAACUAAAUAUUUUGUAAGAUCAUAUAACUAGCAGGGAUACAAUAGUAGCCAAAACUCGUAAGACGAAUACCUUGGGGGGUUAGGUCUCGGAAAGCCAACCAAGAAAUCUGAGGUUCAAAGUUUGAAACUUACUGUACCUAGCGCGGUUGGCUAAGGGCUUGAUGGUCGGUACCCAAGGUUCCAAGUUCGAAGCUUAGUUGCUUCACAUUUCUAACUACAUUUAUUUCUAAAAUAAAAAGAAAAUAAAAGAAGCAGUAGCUUGCAAUCUUUAAUAAGCUGUAGAAUGUUGUGUCAGGUGUGGGACUCACAGACAAGUCUAAAAAAAAUAAAUAAAAGUGAAGUAGCUCCAAGCUGGAGAACUACACCACUUAGGGGGGGCUCCCAAUUGCUCUAUCUGCGAUUUUCCUAUCUCCUAUAUUGAAAUUUUUUUUUAUACUUUUUUCACUUUACUAGAUGAAAUUUCAACAUGAAAUCAUAGUCUUUCAAUCGAAGAAAAAAAUUACCUUAGUCUUCCAUUUCUAGACCGUUCUAUUCCAGUAGUUCGACCGUCAAAUUUUAUUUGUUUUGCUAUUUUCAGAAUACGGAAUGUGACUUACUAUUAUUGAUCUAAUUGAUAAUACAUGGAAUGGACCUGUUAUCUCUAUCAAGAUGAGCUCAUGAUAUGCUCAGGUUCAUGGAAUAACUGUCAAUGGGUGCCUGUCAUUUGUGAUUUGCUUGCCUUGGUGGAAUGGGAAUAGUCCAACCUUUAAAGUUAUAAUACAUAUAUAGAGAGAGAGAGAGACCACAUGAGACACUUCUAAUAGCACCAAGCAUAUGGUGCUUUUUCGCCAUUAAAUUUACCCUUUGAUCAAUUCUAUCUUUUAAAUCAUGCUAUACCAACCAACAAUCAAACCCUAGAAGACCACUAUCAUUUCAACCCUAUAAUUUUUCACCCAAUAGUUAUAAAUUUGGUAGUAAAAAGACACGAAUACUAUUAAAAAAUAUUCUAAGUCAAUUAUAUAUAUCACCUUUUGGAGUGCUCAACUUGAGUUUUAUUAAAGAGGGUUUGUUCCCUCUAUAUAGAUACUGUGGUUAAGUACCACAACGUAAUUUCCCAACACCAAGAGGUUUGGAUUCCAAUAUUCCAACAUGUUGAAAGCACAAAAUGAUUUUAUUUUCUCUUUUUUAUUUCUUGGUAUGGAAUAAUUAACAUAAGGUGUGGCAUAACUAUCAACUGCACUAGCAGUAAAGGACAAAGUCUGAGAGAUGCUUACCCUACUUGCGUGAAUAAUUUUAGUGUAAAAAUGUACUGAGAUCCCCUCAACUAUUAGUCAUUUUGAUCUUUAGAUUAUUUUUCCAAAUUCGGCUUUAUAUGCAAUAAAAUUAAGGAUUGAUGACAUCUAAAUUCCAUCUGCUAAAAUGUAAUCUAAACUUUUAAAUUCAACAAAAUGAUUGUUAACUUUAGUAAAUUUUUAGAUUAAUCAAUAAAAAUAACUUAACCAAAGAAAUUAAAUAUUGAAGGGACAUAAAAAAAAAAAAGAAAAUAGUUGAGGGGUCUCUGUACAUUUUUAUCUCAUAAUAAUUCAUAUCUUUCAAACUUUCACUUCCACAUAUAUUGCCAUGUGAUAAAGAUUAAUUGUUUAUUUGAUUUGCUUCAUUUUUUUGGGUCCUAGUAAGAGAUAAAUUUUUUAAAGUUAAGAUUAAAUUAUGGUUUUUCUUGUUUCUUAAAUUAUGUGUAUUUGGCAGUGGGUGGAGCAAUUGCUCUCAGGGACUACUCAGAAGCAGGGUUUAUUGUGUUUCUCUUUGCCACAGCUGAAUGGUUGGAAACAGUGGCAAGUCACAAGGUCUCUAUCAAUCUCUCUCCCUCUCUCUCUCAAUCGCACACACACACACACACACACUUUUAAUUUCUUUUUUUUUUUUUGGUAAAAAUGUAUGGAGACCCUCUCAACUAUAGGCAGUUCUGAAAGUGACCCCCAACUUCAAUUUUUCUAAUUUACACCCCCUUUAAUUUUUUUUUUUCAAUUGAAUUACUCUAGUUAUUUAACUUAAAAAUCUUGUUAAAUUUAAUGGCUUAAUUAGCUAUUACCAGUUGAUUAAUCAAGCUUUAUUCCUCACACUCUUCUAAGGCCUAGUUUGAUAACAUAGUAACUAAAAGUGCAAGAGCACUUUUAAUCUUUUUUCCUCUACAGGCUUCUCCAUCAGCCGUUUACUCUAAUAAAAGAUUCAGCUAGCAUAAAACAAUAAUUUGACAGGAAGUAAAAAGCCUAUACUUGAGCUUUUAAACUAAUCAGUUGUUUUAUAAUAAUAGGCACAUUAAUGUAGAGACUAUCAACUGUAGAGUCAGUAAAACCAAUCUACACAAUAUAAGAAUUUUUUUAUUAAUAUUCUUAAAAAUUAUUAUAAUUAUAAAAAUAGUUCUUUAAAAAAAUUAUUUAUAAAACUAGUCUUACACAAUAAAUGAAUUACUGAUUUCUAAAUGCGAUAAAUUAUCCACCGCUUUCUAUAAAAUAUUAAAAUUACUUUUAGCGUUUAAUGUCAUACAUCUUAUUUUUUGUAGUUCGACCAUAAAAAAUAUAGUGUAGAGCUACUAUGCUAUCAGAAGCAUAAAAGGUUUUAUGUUUUCGACUUUUUGACUCUUGGAUCAAAAAUUGUACAGUUGGGAUGAUUGUGGUCCCCCCUAGGAUUGAGGUAGCACUAGGGUGUCAAACGGCCGGGCGGCCGCGAGUCCGCCCGGCCGGCACGAGAGUGGGCGCGGGCCAGGCACGGCACGAGUACUGUAGCGGGCCGUGCCGGCCCGACCCGGCCAGUCAAAUCGGGUCGUGCUGGGCCUUGCUCCUGUGGCUUGAUGGCCCGGCACGGCCGCGGCACGACCCGAGCCUGGCCGUGCCGGGCCUGAGAGUUUACCUUGCCGGCGGCGCGGCAUGACACGCCCGACCCAUGUGGCAGGGUCUUCGAGCCGGGCCCAGGCAUGGACUUGGGUACGACGGCCUUACCCAACUCCCAAGGCCCUGUACUACCCAACUCCCAAUGCAUUGGGAGUUGGGCUUUGGGGCUCUCCCAAGGUCUGUGAUAAUAGAUCCUUGGGAGUUGGUUUGGACCAAAAUCCCUCCAACAGUCAAAUUUUUGAUUGUGGGAAGGGCAUUUUGUUCCAAAAAUUUAAAAUUAAAAUAAUUUAAAAUUUUAAUAUUUUGUAAAUAUAUUUUAAAAUUUUAAUUUUUUAUUGAUAUAUAAUUUUUAAAAAUAAUAUUUUUAUUUUUAUUUUAAAAAAAAAUUAAAAUUUUUUAAAUAAAAUUAAUAAAAUAAAAAAAAGGGCUGGCCCGAAGCCGCCCAGCCAGGCACGGCUAGGGGUGGCAAUCUCAGCUCGCUGUUCGCGAGCCAGCUCGUGUUCGGCUCGAAAUGAGCUCGAGAUCGGCUCGCUCAUUUAGUAAACGAGCCGAACACGAGCCGGAUUUUUCAGCUCUUUAAUAAACGAGCCGAACACGAGCUAGGGUCAGCUCGCUCGCGUUCGGCUCGAUAACAGCUCGAUUUUAUUUAUUUUAUAUUAGUAUAAUUUUUUUAUAUUAUAAUAUAUAUAUAAUUAUAUUUGUAUAUAAAUAUAUAAUACAGAUUAUUAAUUUUAAAAUUUUAGCCAUUCUAAAUGGAUUAUCUUGGGCCUAAUCUUGGUUUGGGCCACGAUGCUAGAGAGAGAGAGACCGACUCAGGAUGCUAUAGAUGGAUUAUCUUGGGCCUUAUCUUGGACCCGACUCAGGAUGUGGAGUCGGGUCCGACGAUGUUACAGAGAGAGACCACAGACCAGCUACCCGAUAGCCGGUUCCAGGUGCGGAUUCGGGCUCGGGAAGCGCUACAGUGAGGAAGCGCGGACCCGUUGCCCGAAACCCCACUCUCCUUUAGAUUACGCCGCCGCCUUGUCCCAUUCUUCACCUUGGAUCCUCCCAUGUCUCACCCAUGUCUCACCGCCGCCUUGUCCCAUUCUUCACCUUGGAUCCUCCCUUGUCCCAUUCUGCGACGAUGCUUCUCGCUCGCAGCGAACUUCGGCAGCGGCAGCGAACUUCGACAACGGCAACAGCAGCGGCAGCAAACUUCGACAGCGGCAGCGGCAGCGAACUUCGACAGCGGCGCUAACGAGCCGAACACGAGCUAGCUCGAUUAAGUUGCGAGCCGAUCACGAGCCGGAGUUUUCGAGCUCGUCACGAGCUCGAGCCGAACACGAGCCGACCUGAAGACGUUCGAGCCGAGCUCGAGCUGGCUCCAGCUCGCUCGAGCUCGACUCGUUUACAGCCCCCUAGGCACGGCCCGUGCAGUGCGGGCCGGGAGGCCGUGCUGAGAACUUUGGCCCGGCACGGCACGGCCCGAUUUUGGGGCCGGGCCGUGCCGGGCUGGCCUCCGGCCCGUUUCGACCCGGGAAAGGGUUGAGUGAUCCCCACAGGGUAAUAGUAUUAAUCCAAAGGUUAAAAAUGAUCAAAGGGGUUAAUCUAAGGGCCAAAAAGUCAGAAGCAUCAGAUCCUCUAUGCUUGCGAUAACAUAGUAGCUCUACUAAAAAAUAUAUAAGGUUGGUGAAAAUAGUGAAUAAUUUAUCGUUUUUAGAAAGUGGUGAAUAAAAAAUUCUAAAAGGUCAAGUUGCCCAAAAAAAAUCCAAUAUAAUCAAAAUCAAGAUCACAUUGAGGGACCACCCCUACAAAGAAUAUCUACGAAAGAAUAUGUAUGAUGCCAUACAAACAGUAGGGGUACUGUAGCCACAUUUAUGCUAUCAAUUGGCCCACUUAAUUUUGCUUGUACAUUCUUGGUAUGGAAUUUAACGGGACCAUCAACCAUAUCUACUGUUUCAUGUGCAUGUCCAUAAAUAAAAGCUUUGCCUAAUAGAGAAUUUCAUCCACUCCACCACUUGGAAUAGGAAUUUCAUAUUAACAGAGUCAAAUUUACUAUUUACAAAUAGAUUUGUCAAACUUGAUCACUUUCCAUUACUUGGAUUUGACCAAAUUUGAUGAAUCUGCGAGGCAAACUUUUUAUCUAACGCAACUGACACAAAGAAAAAUGAGGACAAAUUGUCAAAACAAAACACAAGAUGGGUCUGAGCAAGCUAAGCCUAAAUACACAUUCAUAAAUAGUUUUUUCAUAAUUAGUAAAAGGAGAUAUCAACCUCUAACCUCGCUACUGUUUGGUCUAGCUAGAGCUUCCGCGAAAGUGUUGUAUGCUUAAAAGCUACCCAAACUUCAGAAAUUGAAAAAACACUGCCAACAAAUUCUAGCAUUUGCAACUGGAAGCAAAAUCACAAUGGAGUCAAAAAAGCAACAUAGAAAGUAGUCUCUAUUACAAAGAAAAACACCCUGCACUUCUGAUCUAUUUUAUUUGUUUUAAGAUCUAUUAUUAAAGUUGGACCUUAGAUGUUCCGAACCAACAUAAUAUGCUAACUCAUUCUAGUAAUGUUUUGCAUCUAAAUUCAACAAUUGUUCCAAAUUUUUCAACCAACUUGACAUGGUGGUGAUGUGCAAAGUGAGAUUGAUGCAACAUUUUAUGCCAAAAGAUAACUGAAACAGGUUAAAGGGCAAGGAUUUUCUGUAGUUUAGCCUGCUAAUAAUUUGUCUUAUAUGGAAAAUUUUAGAAAGAAACUUAGUUACCUGCAGGCAACUGCGGGGAUGUCGUCGCUGAUGAGCAUGGCUCCACAGAAGGCCGUGCUGGCCGAGACAGGCCAAGUGGUCGAUGCUCGAGAUGUUAAGAUCGACACGGUCCUGGCAGUCAAAGCUGGGGAAGUGAUCCCAAUCGACG